rnacentral:rRNA from 1 species
GACGAACGCUGGCGGCGCGCUUAACACAUGCAAGUCGAACGGAAAGGCCUGCUUUCCCUUGUGGAUUGCGGGUACUCGAGUGGCGAACGGGUGAGUAACACGUGAGUGAUCUGCCCCCAACUUGGGUAUAAGCCUGGGAAACUGGGUCUAAUUCCCGAUAGGACUGCAGGGUGGUUCCUGUGGUGGAAAACGAUUUUCUAGUGGUUGGGGAUGAGCUCGCGGCCUAUCAGCUUGUUGGUGGGGUAAUGGCCUACCAAGGCGGCGACGGGUAGCCGGCCUGAGAGGGUGGACGGCAACAUUGGGACUGAGAUACGGCCCAGACUCCUACGGGAGGCAGCAGUGGGGAAUAUGGCACAAUGGGCGGAAGCCUGAGGCAGCGACGCCGCGUGGGGGAUGACGGCCUUCGGGUUGUAAACUCCUUUCGACCGCGAGGAAGCCACCUGGUUGGAAGGGUGGUGACGGUAGUGGUAGAAGAAGCACCGGCUAACUACGUG